GCCUUCGUGGUGUAAUGGUCAGCACACUGAGCCGGUAUUUCAGAGGUCCGCGGUUCGAUCCCCGGCGUAGGCA
rfam:Stegodyphus mimosarum contig100865, whole genome shotgun sequence.